rnacentral:rRNA from 1 species
GACGAACGCUGGCGGCGUGCCUAAUACAUGCAAGUCGAACGCAGUGGGGACGGGUGAGUAACCCGUGGGUAACCUCCCAUCAGAGGGGAUAACACUUGGAAACAGGUGCUAAACCGAUACUGAUGGAUGAACCAGGGGUGCAUUAGCUAGUUGGUGGGGUAAAGACUAACCAAGGCCACGAUGCAUAGCCGCCCUGAGAGGUGGAGCGGCCACACUAGGACUGAGACACGGCCCAGACUCCUACGGGAGACAGCAGUAGGGACUCUUCGGCAAUGGACGAGAGGCUGUCCGAGCAACGCCGCGUGAGUGAAGAAGGUUUUCGGAUCGUAAAACACUGUUGUUAGAGAAGCGGUAUCUAACCAGAAAGCCACGGCUAACUACGUGUCAGAAGCCGCGGUAAUAC